CAGCCGCCACGGUAAUACGAAGGGGGCUAGCGUUGCUCGGAAUGACUGGGCGUAAAGGGCGCGUAGGCGGCGAUCAAAGUCAGGCGUGAAAUUCCUGGGCUCAACCUGGGGGCUGCAUUCAAAACUGACUGACUAGAGUAUGGUAGAGGGUGGUGGAAUUUCCUGUGUAGCGGUGAAAUGCGUAGAUAUAGGAAGGAACACCAGUGGCGAAGGCGACCACCUGGACUAAUACUGACACUGAGGUGCGAAAGCGUGGGGAGCAAACAGGAUUAGAUACCCCCGUAGUCCCUGUCUCUUAUAC
rnacentral:rRNA from 1 species